CGCUGCUGGACAAGCUGGGCUGUGGGGAGGAGCAGGACAAAGAGGGAGCAGAGAAGGUCCGAAAUCCGAAGUUCAGGAGAUAGCGAACACAAAAGGAACUUCCACAACCCCAACCCUGCUGUCUGCCCGAGACUAGCAUGGAGAAUGUCUCACCGUUUGAAGCCAAGGUCAGACUUUCAGUGCAUUACAGCUGCUUUCAACUGGACUGGAAACAUUUUUCUCCUUAAACAAGGAGUGAAUGUGAUCUAGUAGUCUGGGCACAGAAACCCUAAUUCCGCAAACCACUUAAUCACAGGCUUAAAUCAGUGGGAUUUAAGCAUGUUCUUAAAGGUAAGCAGCUGCUUAAGUGAUCUGUUGAAUCAGGGCAGGGUGGGGAGUCAGGACUCCUGGGUCCUAUCCAUAGCUUGGCCACUGACUUGUAGCUUGGGCAAAUACGUCCCUGACCCAUUGUAAAAUGAGCACAUUAAAGCUACGCCUUAUGUGUUACUUGCUUUGAGAUCUACAGAUGAAAAAUCCUCUGUAACUGAGGAAUGCUCGAUAUCUUUUUAAAAACUAUCUUUUAAACAACACAUCUGUUCAGUAAGAUGGAAGAGCCAGUUGAAAUUAUAAUCCCGUCUAGCUAUUUUGAACUACAGUGUGUUUUUUCACUCCUCGGUGUCUAACCGGGAAUUGGAGCUGAGGUAGAAUAUAAUUAUCCAAGUUCGGAUGCGGCCAGGACACCAGAGUUAACUCUUACCAAAAAGCGCCACGGGAUCAUUAAAGCCACAAGUAGCCCGGACCUUCAUUUAAAGUCUUGUCUGAUAAGCAGAAGCACCCUUUUGGCUAGACGUGACGAGGAAACAGACUGAAAGUUGGAAAGGAGACCACAAGGAAUACUCAGGCCAGAAUGAGCAGGAAAGGAGAGGAAGGGAGGAGGGAAUAAGGAAUAAAAGGAGAGUUGG